rnacentral:lncRNA from 1 species
GCGAAUUUUUUGUAGAGAGCCAGGUCGCCAUUUUCCACAGGCUGGUGUUGAACUCCUGGGCUCAAGCGAUUCGCCACGUCAACCUCUGAAGAAGGUGCUGGGAUUACAAGCAUGAGCCACCGCCGCCAGGUUCUUCAGAAGAGGAUGAGGUCAUUCAACCAGGUUUCAUCAGCCCCAGGCGGGGCUAGCAAAGGUGGUGGAGAAGAGCCCGGGAAGCUGCCGGAGCCGGCAGAGGAGGAAUCCCAGGUUUUGCGCGGAACUGGCCACUGUAAGUGGUUCAAUGUGCGCAUGGGAUUUGGAUUCAUCUCCAUGAUAAACCGAGAGGGAAGCCCCUUGGAUAUUCCAGUCGAUGUAUUUGUACACCAAAGCAAACUAUUCAUGGAAGGAUUUAGAAGCCUAAAAGAAGGAGAACCAGUGGAAUUCACAUUUAAAAAAUCUUCCAAAGGCCUUGAGUCAAUACGGGUAACAGGACCUGGUGGGAGCCCCUGUUUAGGAAGUGAAAGAAGACCCAAAGGGAAGACACUACAGAAAAGAAAACCAAAGGGAGAUAGAUGCUACAACUGUGGUGGCCUUGAUCAUCAUGCUAAGGAAUGUAGUCUACCUCCUCAGCCAAAGAAGUGCCAUUACUGUCAGAGCAUCAUGCACAUGGUGGCAAACUGCCCACAUAAAAAUGUUGCACAGCCACCCGCGAGUUCUCAGGGAAGACAGGAAGCAGAAUCCCAGCCAUGCACUUCAACUCUCCCUCGAGAAGUGGGAGGCGGGCAUGGCUGUACAUCACCACCGUUUCCUCAGGAGGCUAGGGCAGAGAUCUCAGAACGGUCAGGCAGGUCACCUCAAGAAGCUUCCUCCACGAAGUCAUCUAUAGCACCAGAAGAGCAAAGCAAAAAGGGGCCUUCAGUUCAAAAAAGGAAAAAGACAUAACAGGUCUUCUUCAUAUGUUCUUUCCUUUACCCGGUUGCAAAGUCUACCUCAUGCAAGUAUAGGGGAACAGUAUUUCACAAGCAGUAGCUGACCUGGGAUUUUAACUACUAUUGGGGAACUGUGAAUUUUUUAAACAGACAAAUCACUCUAAGCAAAUUACAUUUGAGCAGGGUGUCAUGUUUUAUGUUAAUUCAGAGAAUAAGAUACUAUGUCUGUCAAUAUGUGCAUGUGUGAGAGGGAGAGAGCCUGAGUCUGUGUGUGUACAUGAGGAUUUUUAUAUAGGAAUGUAGACACAUAUAUAAAGAGGCUUUGUCUUUAUAUAUUUGUGUAUAGAUCAAAGCACACACCCUCUCUCAUAUAAUUGGAUAUUUCCAAGAAUUGAAAACCCAUGUGAAGCAUUAUAGAUAGUUUUAAAUUUAACCCACUGGAGUUUUCUUGAAAUACCACUUCUUUUAUAUUAUAUAAAACUAAAAACACGACUGUUACCUUUUGUGUGAACCAAAGGAUACUUCAGAUCUCAGAGCUGCCAAUUAUGGGGUACUAAAGGUUUUUAAGACAUCCAGUUCUCCCGAAUUUGGGAUUGCCUCUUUUUCUUGAAAUCUCUGGAGUAGUAAUUUUUUUCCCCCUUUUUUGAAGGCAGUACCUUAACUUCAUAUGCCUCUGACUGCCAUAAGCUUUUUUGAUUCUGGGAUAACAUAACUCCAGAAAAGACAAUGAAUGUGUAAUUUGGGCCGAUAUUUCACUGUUUUAAAUUCUGUGUUUAAUUGUAAAAUUAGAUGCCUAUUAAGAGAAAUGAAGGGGAGGAUCAUCUUAGUGGCUUGUUUUCAGUAGUAUUUUAAUAUCAGCUUCUUGUAACCUUUUCCAUGUUGUGAGGGUUGUAAGGGAUUGUGUGGCAACAGCAGCUUCCCUUGGCUAACUCAAUCUUCUACCCAUUGCUUAGAGCAGGGAGCCCUCCUUAUUUACUACUGAAGACCUUAGAGAACUCCAAUUGUUUGGCAUAUAUUUUUGGUGGUGGUUUUUAUUCCUCCUGGAGAGUUAUCUAAUUUGUUUCUAAAACAAACAAGCAGCAAAGAAAUGAAUUAAAUACUGGGGUUGAGAAUUAAAAUUAAGUGGAUGUUCACAGUUGCCCAAUAUAUAUGACCUGCAAAUGAUACG